AAGUCGUAACAAGGUUUCCGUAGGUGAACCUGCGGAAGGAUCAUUAUUGAAGAAUAAGAGUGCGCUUAAUUGCGGCUCGACCCUUCACAUCCCACACCCUGUGAAUUGUAACACCCUUAUUAGACCCUAACAGUCGGAGAAUGUAAAUAAUAGUAAAGUAAUAAAACUUUUAACAACGGAUCUCUUGGCUCUC
rnacentral:misc_RNA from 1 species